CAUAAUACACUUCCCGAUGGCACCCGCACCAUUGGAUGCGGGUAGAGUUUAACCAAACACGCACCCGCGUCCUCGUAUCUUAACUAUACCCGUACCCGCGCCUGAGUAUAGAUUUUAUCCAGGCCAAAAUGAUGGUUUGUUACGAUGGAAAACGUGUAGCGGGGCGAGGUCUUCCCGAUGUCGGGGAAACGUGAAACCGGGAACAGUCUAGACGUGUGUUAGGGUGGAAACAGGCCAAAACGGUUGUGCAUUACGAUGGAAAACGUGUAACGGGGCGAGGUCUUCCCGAUGUCGGGAAAACGUGAAACCSGGGAACAGCCUACACGUGCGUUUAAGGUGGAAACAGGCCAAAACGAUGGUCCGUUACGAUGGAAAAUGUGUAACGGGGCGAGGUAUUCCCGAUGUCGGGGAAACGUGAAACCCGGAACAGCCUACACGUGCGUUACGGUGGAAACAGGCCAAAACGUUGGUCCGUUACGAUGGAAAACGUGUAACGGGGUGAGGUCUUCCCGAUGCCGGGGAAACGUGA
rnacentral:lncRNA from 1 species